rnacentral:rRNA from 1 species
UACCAGCUCUCCGAGUGGUGUGGAUGUUUAUUGGGCCUAAAGCAUCCGUAGCUGGCUGGGCAAGUCCCCUGUUAAAUCCACCGAUUUAAUCGUUGGUGUGCGGGGGAUACUGUUCGGCUAGGGGACGGGAGAGGCCGACGGUAUUUUCGGGGUAGGGGUGAAAUCCUAUAAUCCCGGGAAGACCACCAGUGGCGAAGGCUGUCGGCUAGAACGCGCCCGACGGUGAGGGAUGAAAGCGUGGGGGAGCGAACCGGAUUAGAUACCCGGGUAGUCCCAGCUGUAACGAUGCAGGCUAGGUGUUUGGGCGGCCACGUGCCGCUCUAGUGCCGCAGAGAAGUCGUUAAGCCUGCCGCCGUGGGGAGUACGGCCGCAAGGCUAGAACUUAAAGGAAGUUGGCGGGGAGCACCACGAAGGGGUGAAGCUUGCGGUUU